rnacentral:rRNA from 1 species
UGGAAUUGCACAGACAACCAGGAUGUUGGCUUAGAAGCAGCCACUCAUUUAAAGAGUGCGUAAUAGCUCACUGGUCGAGUGAUUCUGCGCCGAAAAUUUCCGGGGCUAAAACUUACUACCGAAGCUACGGCAUCAUUAUGAUGGGUAGGGGAGCUUUCUAUGCGGCUUGAAGCAUGACCGUAAGGACAUGUGGACUGCAUAGAAGUGAGAAUGUUGGCAUGAGUAGCGAGAUGUGGGUGAGAAUCCCACAGGCCGUAAACCCAAGGUUUCCAGGGGAAGGUUCGUCCGCCCUGGGUUAGUCAGGACCUAAGCCGAGGCCGAAAGGCGUAGGUGAUGGACAACAGGUUGAUAUUCCUGUACCACCAAUAACCGUUUGAGAAAUGGGAUGACACAGUAGGAUAAGCUAACCGCACUGUUGGUUAUGUGCGGGCAAGUAUUGAGGCAGUUCCGAUAGGCAAAUCCGUCGGAAUAAUGCUGGGGUACGAUGCGGAGCGAAAUUAAGUAGCGAAGUAGCUGAUUUCACACUGUCGAGAAAAGUCUCUAUCGAGGUUAAAGGUGCCUGUACCGCAAACCGACACAGGUGGGUGAGGAGAGUAUCCUAAGGCCAGCGAGAGAACUGUUGUUAAGGAACUCGGCAAAAUGACCCCGUAACUUCGGGAGAAGGGGUGCCUUCGAAAGAAGGCCGCAGAGAAUAGGCCCAAGCGACUGUUUACCAAAAACAUAGGUUUCUGCUAAGUCGCAAGACGAUGUAUAGGAGCUGACGCCUGCCCGGUGCUGGAAGGUUAAGGGGAUCUGUUAGAGCAAUCGAAGCAGUGAACUUAAGCCCCAGUAAACGGCGGCCGUAACUAUAACGGUCCUAAGGUAGCGAAAUUCCUUGUCGGGUAAGUUCCGACCCGCACGAAAGGCGUAACGAUUUGGGCACUGUCUCAACAACAGACUCGGUGAAAUUGUAAUACCGGUGAAGAUGCCGGUUACCUGCGACAGGACGGAAAGACCCCAUGGAGCUUUACUGUAGCUUGACAUUGAGUCUCGGUGCUACAUGUACAGGAUAGGUGGGAGACUAUGAAGCAUGGACGUCAGUCUGUGUGGAGUCAUCCUUGGGAUACCACCCUUGUAGUACUGGGAUUCUAACCAGAGGCCAUGAAUCUGGUCUUGGGACACUGUCAGGUGGACAGUUUGACUGGGGCGGUCGCCUCCCAAAAAGUAACGGAGGCGCUCAAAGGUUCUCUCAGUACGGUCGGAAAUCGUACGAAGAGUGUAAAGGCAAAAGAGAGCUUGAUUGCAAGACAUACAGGUCGAGCAAGGACGAAAGUCGGACUUAGUGAUCCGGUGGUUCCGCAUGGAAGGGCCAUCGCUCAACGGAUAAAAGCUACCCUGGGGAUAACAGGCUGAUCUCCCCCAAGCGUCCACAGCGACGGGGAGGUUUGGCACCUCGAUGUCGGCUCGUCACAUCCUGGGGCUGAAUUCGGUCCCAAGGGUUCGGCUGUUCGCCGAUUAAAGUGGCACGCGAGCUGGGUUCAGAACGUCGUGAGACAGUUCGGUCCCUAUCUGUUGCGGGCGCAGGAAUAUUGAGAGGAGCUGUCCUUAGUACGAGAGGACCGGGAUGGACGUACCGCUGGUGCACCAGUUGUUCUGCCAAGGGCAUAGCUGGGUAGCUAAGUACGGACGAGAUAAACGCUGAAGGCAUCUAAGCGUGAAACUCCCCUCGAGAUAAGUGUUCCCAUCCUUCGGGAGUAAGGCCCCUUGU